rnacentral:rRNA from 1 species
GACGUAGGUGGCGAACGUUAUCCGGAAUUAUUGGGCGUAAAGGAUGCGUAGAUGGUGUAGUAAGUUAUCGGUGGCAAAUCGAGGCUCAACCUCGUGGAAGUCGGUAAUACUGCUAUGCUAGAGGAUAGGAGAGGUUAACGGAACUCCCUGUGGAGCGGUGAAAUGCGUAGAUAUAGGGAAGAACACCAAUAAGGCGAAGGCAGUUAACUAUUCUAUUCCUGACAUUGAGGCAUGAAAGCGUGGGGAGCAAACGGG